CACUACGAGUACUACUGACUCCCCACUGCACAAUAUCCAACCAUCUAUUCAGAGCACGACCUGCAUUUUGCUCUGCAGCUGAACGUUUGGUUUUUCGCUUUCUCCAAGCAGCAGUCCUUCUGUUUUGUUCUUCCCACCCCAUCCCAUCUCUUCCCA